rnacentral:rRNA from 1 species
AUUAACGCUGGCGGCAUGCCUUACACAUGCAAGUCGAACGGUAACGGGCCUUCGGGUGCCGACGAGUGGCGACCGGGUGAGUAAUACAUCGGAACGUGCCCGAUCGUGGGGGAUAACGAGGCGAAAGCUUUGCUAAUACCGCAUACGAUCUACGGAUGAAAGCAGGGGACCGCAAGGCCUUGCGCGGACGGAGCGGCCGAUGGCAGAUUAGGUAGUUGGUGGGAUAAAAGCUUACCAAGCCGACGAUCUGUAGCUGGUCUGAGAGGAUGAUCAGCCACACUGGGACUGAGACACGGCCCAGACUCCUACGGGAGGCAGCAGUGGGGAAUUUUGGACAAUGGGCGCAAGCCUGAUCCAGCCAUGCCGCGUGCAGGAUGAAGGCCUUCGGGUUGUAAACUGCUUUUGUACGGAACGAAAAGCCUUCUUUUAAUACAGGAGGGUCAUGACGGUACCGUAAGAAUAAGCACCGGCUAACUACGUG